GACGAAGGUGGCGAGCGUAGUUCGGAAUCACUGGGCAUAAAGCGCACGUAGGCGGUGCCGUAAGUCGGAUGUGAAAUCCCUCGGCCUAACCGAGGAACUGCGUCCGAUACUGCGGUGCUUGAGGAUCAGAGGGGUGCAUGGAAUUUCCGGUGGAGCGGUGAAAUGCGUUGAUAUCGGAAGGAACUCCGGCGGCGAAAGCGGUGCUCUGGGCCGGAACUGACGCUGAGGAGCGAAAGCUGGGGGAGCGAACGGG
rnacentral:rRNA from 1 species